UGAGGAAUAUUGGUCAAUGGACGCAAGUCUGAACCAGCCAUGCCGCGUGCAGGAAGACGGCUCUAUGAGUUGUAAACUGCUUUUAUACGGGAAUAACCAUGAUUACGUGUAGUCAUCUGAAUGUACCGUACGAAUAAGCACCGGCUAACUCCGUGCCAGCAGCCGCGGUAAUACGGAGGGUGCAAGCGUUAUCCGGAUUUAUUGGGUUUAAAGGGUGCGUAGGCGGAAAUUUAAGUCAGUGGUGAAAUCUUGCAGCUUAACUGUAAAACUGCCAUUGAUACUGAGUUUCUUGAGUAUAGUUGAGGUAGGCGGAAUGUGUAAUGUAGCGGUGAAAUGCUUAGAUAUUACACAGAACACCGAUUGCGUAGGCAGCUUACUAAGCUAUAACUGACGCUGAGGCACGAAAGCGUGGGGAGCGAACA
rnacentral:rRNA from 1 species